rnacentral:rRNA from 1 species
GUAGGGCGGGACACGUGGUAUCCUGUCUGAAUAUGGGGGGACCAUCCUCCAAGGCUAAAUACUCCUGACUGACCGAUAGUGAACCAGUACCGUGAGGGAAAGGCGAAAAGAACCCCGGCGAGGGGAGUGAAAAAGAACCUGAAACCGUGUACGUACAAGCAGUGGGAGCCCCACCACUAAGCCAGUGGUGAACUCCACAUACGCAUCCUUUGCUGAAGGCAAUGGUUAACGGAGCGAAAGCGACGUUCAACCGCAAAACAAGCAGAGGGGGCUUAGUGGUGGGGUGACUGCGUACCUUUUGUAUAAUGGGUCAGCGACUUAUAUUCUGUAGCAAGGUUAACCGUAUAGGGGAGCCGGAGGGAAACCGAGUCUUAAUUGGGCGUUAAGUUGCAGGGUAUAGACCCGAAACCCGGUGAUCUAGCCAUGGGCAGGUUGAAGGUUGGGUAACACUAACUGGAGGACCGAACCGACUAAUGUUGAAAAAUUAGCGGAUGACCUGUGGCUGGGGGUGAAAGGCCAAUCAAACCGGGAGAUAGCUGGUUCUCCCCGAAAGCUAUUUAGGUAGCGCCUCGUGAAUUCAUCUCCGGGGGUAGAGCACUGUUUCGGCUAGGGGGCCAUCCCGGCUUACCAACCCGAUGCAAACUGCGAAUACCGGAGAAUGUUAUCACGGGAGACACACGGCGGGUGCUAACGUCCGUCGUGAAGAGGGAAACAACCCAGACCGCCAGCUAAGGUCCCAAAGUCAUGGUUAAGUGGGAAACGAUGUGGGAAGGCCCAGACAGCCAGGAUGUUGGCUUAGAAGCAGCCAUCAUUUAAAGAAAGCGUAAUAGCUCACUGGUCGAGUCGGCCUGCGCGGAAGAUGUAACGGGGCUAAACCAUGCACCGAAGCUGCGGCAGCGAACGUAUCACUUAAAGCGAUUCAGCGGGUUACGAUUGACGGAGCGAAGCGACGUCAAAGCGUAUACAAAGUCGAGUCGGUUUAAGGAUACGUUCGUUGGGUAGGGGAGCGUUCUGUAAGCCUGCGAAGGUGGCCUGUGAGGGUUGCUGGAGGUAUCAGAAGUGCGAAUGCUGACAUAAGUAACGAUAAAGCGGGUGAAAAGCCCGCUCGCCGGAAGACCAAGGGUUCCUGUCCAACGUUAAUCGGGGCAGGGUGAGUCGACCCCUAAGGCGAGGCCGAAAGGCGUAGUCGAUGGGAAACGGGUUAAUAUUCCCGUACUUGGUGUUACUGCGAAGGGGGGACGGAGAAGGCUAUGUUGGCCGGGCGACGGUUGUCCCGGUUUAAGCGUGUAGGCUGGUUUUCCAGGCAAAUCCGGAAAAUCAAGGCUGAGGCGUGACGACGAGGCACUACGGUGCUGAAGCAACAAAUGCCCUGCUUCCAGGAAAAGCCUCUAAGCAUCAGGUAACAC